ACUCGAUGUCAUAUCUGAAUGAAAAUAAGCGGGAAAAACAGGCCAGUGAAACGCUCUCACCAUAUGAAGGAUCGACUGCAACAUUUUCAAGAACUGCUCUUUCAAACUAUACUAAAAUCCUGCAAGGUUAAUGCGCACUUUAAAAUUUUACUCAACUCAGACGAAUGGAAGCUUCCAGCAUUGUCAGUGUCAGGCUUACGCAAACAGAAAUGACUUUUGGGAAAACUCGAGAGCAGAUCGGUACAGUUCUCAAAAACGUCCACGACAUUUAUAUAAGCCAGUGUAAACACGAAAAACAUCUUUGUUUUCUUUUAUAAAAUUAUAAUAAUGCGAAAAAGUUAAAUUUAAAAC